rnacentral:piRNA from 1 species
UUAGGACUUUGCGCCUUCCUCAGGUC